CCUACGGGUGGCUGCAGUAGGGAAUAUUGCUCAAUGGGGGAAACCCUGAAGCAGCAACGCCGCGUGGAGGAUGAAGGUUUUCGGAUUGUAAACUCCUUUUGUUAGAGAAGAUAUUGACGGUAUCCAACGAAUAAGCACCGGCGAACUCCGGGCCAGCAUCCGCGGGCAUACGGAGGGUGGAAGCGUUACUCGGAAUAAUUGGGCGUAAAGAGCGCGUGAGUGGGAUUGCAAGGCAAAUGGGAAAUCCUAGGGCUUAACCCUAGAACUGCAUUUGAAACUGUUAUUCUAGAGUAUGGGAGAGGUAGGUGGAAUGCUUGGUGUAGGGGUAAAAUCCGUAGAGAUCAAGAGGAAUACUCAUUGCGAAGGCAGCCUGCUAGAACAUGACUGACGCUGAUGCACGAAAGCGUGGGGAGCAAACAGGAUUAGAUACCCGAGUAGUC
rnacentral:rRNA from 1 species